UUUGACAUUGCACAUAGCCUA
rnacentral:siRNA from 1 species